AUUGAACGCUGGCGGCAUGCCUUACACAUGCAAGUCGAACGGUAACGCGGGGCAACCUGGCGACGAGUGGCGAACGGGUGAGUAAUGUAUCGGAACGUGCCCAGUAGUGGGGGAUAGCCCGGCGAAAGCCGGAUUAAUACCGCAUACGACCUACGGGUGAAAGGGGGGGAUCGCAAGACCUCUCGCUAUUGGAGCGGCCGAUAUCAGAUUAGCUAGUUGGUGGGGUAAAGGCCCACCAAGGCAACGAUCUGUAGCUGGUCUGAGAGGACGACCAGCCACACUGGGACUGAGACACGGCCCAGACUCCUACGGGAGGCAGCAGUGGGGAAUUUUGGACAAUGGGCGCAAGCCUGAUCCAGCCAUGCCGCGUGCGGGAAGAAGGCCUUCGGUUGUAACGACUUUGUCUAGGGAAGAAACGGUACGUGAUCUAAUAAAUUAGGGCGUAAUGACGGUA
rnacentral:rRNA from 1 species